UAGUCGCCUUUGACGACAUUAGGACUCCAAUCCCUGAGUUGAGCAAUUUUCUUUUAGCCGACAUUAGGGCUCCAAUCCCUGAGUUGAGCGAUUUUUCUUUUAGCCGAUAUUAGGUCUCCAAUCCUCGAGUUGAGCGAUUUUCUUUUAGCUGACAUUAGGGCUCCAAUCCCUGAGUUGAGCGAUUUUCUUUUAGCCGACAUUAGGGCUCCAAUCACUGAGUUGAGCAAUUUUCCUUUAGUCGACUUUAGGGCUCCAAUCCCUGAGUUGAGCGAUUUUCUUUUAGCCGGCAUUAAGGCUCCAAUCCCUGAGUUG
rnacentral:lncRNA from 1 species